rnacentral:rRNA from 1 species
CCUACGGGAGGCAGCAGUGGGGAAUAUUGGACAAUGGGCGAAAGCCUGAUCCAGCAAUGCCGCGUGAGUGAUGAAGGCCUUCGGGUCGUAAAGCUCUUUUACCAGGGAUGAUAAUGACAGUACCUGGAGAAUAAGCUCCGGCUAACUCCGUGCCAGCAGCCGCGGUAAUACGGAGGGAGCUAGCGCUGUUCGGAAUUACUGGGCGUAAAGAGUACGUAGGCGGUUAUUCAAGUCAGAGGUGAAAGCCCGGGGCUCAACCCCGGAACUGCCUUUGAAACUAGAUAACUAGAGUCUUGGAGAGGUUAGUGGAAUUCCGAGUGUAGAGGUGAAAUUCGUAGAUAUUCGGAAGAACACCAGUGGCGAAGGCGACUAACUGGACAAGUACUGACGCUGAGGUACGAAAGCGUGGGGAGCAAACAGGAUUAGAUACCCUGGUAGUCCACGCCGUAAACGAUGAUAACUAGUUGUUCGGUCACUUGGUGACUGAGUGACGCAGCUAACGCAUUAAGUUAUCCGCCUGGGGAGUACGGUCGCAAGAUUAAAACUCAAAGGAAUUGACGGCUGAGACGNGCGAGCGACACGAGGGAGAGG